UGCUGUUGCUGGGCGAACAUGAUGCUGAGGAGGAGGAGGAGGAGGCUUCCCAGGCGGAGGCUGAUCCUGGCCAAAGGCAGCAAGCAGCAGAAGCUCCACCAAAGGCCUUUGCGCCAACCCCGCCGCCGAUGAUGAUGUGUGGCAACCAGACCGAUUGACAAUUGACAAAUAGAGGGAGAAAACGUGGAGGCAGUGACAGACUUUAUAUUUCUAGGCGCGAAGAUCACUGCAGAUGCAGACUGCAGCCAGGAAAUCAGAAGACGUCUACUUCUUGGGAGGAGAGCAAUGGCCAACCUCGAUAAAAUACUGAAAAGCAGAGACAUCACACUGGCAACGAAGGUCCACAUAGUGAAAGCAAUGGUAUUCCCCAUAGUAACCUAUGGAUGCGAGAGCUGGACCAUAAGGAAGGCUGAGUGAAGGAAGAUAAGACGCUUUUGAAUUCCUGUGCUGGAGGAAAAUCCUGAGAGUGCCUUGGACCGCAAGAAGAUCCAACCAGUCCAUCCUCCAGGAAAUAAUGCCCGGCUGCUCAUUGGAGGGAAGGAUAUUAGAGGCAAAAUUGAAGUAUUUUGGCCACAUCAUGAGAAGACAGGAAAGCUUGGAGAAGAUCAUGAUGCUGGGGAAAAUGGAAGGAAAAAGGAAGAGAGGCCGACCAAGGGCGAGAUGGAUGGAUGGUAUCCUUGAAGUGACUGGUUCAUCCUUGAAGGAACUGGGGAUGGCAACGGCUGACAGGGAGCUCUGGCGUGGACUGGUCCAUGAGGUCACGAAGAGUCGAAAACGACUGAACGAGUGAGACGACGACAACGUUGUAUGUCAUCUACAGAAUGAUGGAGACAUUUUAAAAUAAUACAUUUUAAAAUGUAUUCAUCAUUUUCUACAUGACAUAUAUUUUUGUUACUGCCACUUGACUCAAUCUGCAGAAACUAAGUUUGCCAUUUUUCUUUCUUUGUGUUAUUUAAUAAUUUUAUUCAGUGGAGAAUUGUUGAUUCUGAAUAAUCUGGUUAACUACUUCACAAUCUAGAGAGGCUCAAAUACUUUGUGCAAUUAGGAUUAACAGGAAAAACAGUUUUCUGGGCCUGAGCUCUCUCUUUAGUACACAUAUUCAGACUUAAUUUCUAAUCCUGACAGUCAAAAACCAAAGCUCUAGCCAAUUCAAGUUUGAGAUUAUAAUGACAUCAUCAUCUUCAAAUAAAUUGACUAAGGAAUAUAGUUGACAGCAGUUAACAAACCCAACAUAUAAAUACAGAAAUAGUUUAUUUUGAUUAAGAUCCAACAGGGUUAUUCCAUUAAUGCAAGGGUAUUUUUAUUUAUUAUUUAUUUAGCUAUUUCUAAGCUGAAAGGCUUCCACAACUUCCCCUCCAAAAUAAAUAAAUAAAUAACACACACACACACACACACACACACAUAUUCAUCCAUUCCUUUUUUAUGCUUCCAAAUAAGGUAAGAUGACUGUUGGCUUGUUAUGUUGCAUGGCAUCAUUGUGUGCUAUUUUGUAUCAAUCAAUUUAUUAAUGCUCCGACUAAUGGUAAUAUGCAUUUACAGAAACAACACCAAAGAGACAUUUAUACAAAACACUGUAAAAUCCAACUGUUAAAAGUAGGACGCAAGCAGGAUAAAACAGAGUGUGCAAAAUAUACAUUGUGAGGUGCAGCGACACAAAUGCAACAUAUGCUAAAAACUGCACAUUUACCAGUAAGAAGCCAAUAUAAAAAUGCUAUCUUAUAAGCGACCCCGAUUCCCCAUAGGAGAUGGUGGUGUGAUAUAAAUAAAGUUUUAUUAUUAUUUAUUAUUAUUCUCUGGUUGAAAAAUUCCCUUUCCAGGUCUAAAAUGGUCCAGGCAAUGCUUAAAACACGGUCCACUUCCUCACCACCAUGGCCUCUAUAGUUGGAGAAAUUUUAGUUCCUUAUUAAAAAAGUAGAAAAACAUUAUGUACAGGGAGGGACCCCCAAAGUGUCAUGGGAGGCAAAAGCUAUCCUUUUAACAAUUGGAAAUUGCGAGUUCCAUAUAUGACAGAUGGGCAAAGGGGAACCCUCUGGAAAUGUAAAAGCCUUCUGAAACCCCUGGGGUUUAAAAAAUGUUUUUACACCUAAACACCUUCCAUGAAGUGCUGGGUCUAUUUCCACCACAUUUCCUACCCUCGAAGACAACUGAGGCCCAGGAGAGGGGUUUUGGAAACAAGAAAUGAGCAGGUGUUGACUUCCACUCCUUUUCUGUUUUCGAAAAAGCCUCUUCAUCUUCUUGACAAAAAAAAACUUUUUAAAAAUCUAACUCUGUGAUAGAAUCACCACAGAUCAGAAAUUACUUGAAGGCACAAAACUGCAGCAGCAGCAAUGCUAUUUCAAGAACUAUUAACUGAAAAGCAGUGCAGUGUUCCCCCGCUAUUUCGUGGUUCGCUUUUUGCAGACUCGCUGUUUCGCUGUUUUCUAAUAAACACUAAAAUAAUAUUAUAAAUCAUAAAAAAUUAUGAUUUACAGUGGCAGUGGUCCCAGUUGGGUGCGGGAGGCGGUUGAAGAAGGAGCCCAAACGGCAGCGGGAGGAGAAGGAGGUGGCGCCAUGUUCCCCUGCCUCUUUCUUCCCUUCUUUCCUCCCUCCCACCCUCCCUCUUUCUACUUCCUUCCUAAGGAGAAGCCUAGCGUCCCUACUUCGCAGAUUUUCACUUAUCGCGGGUAGUCCUGGAACGUAACAAUAUAUGUGUUGUUGUUGUUGUUGUUGUUGUUGUUGUUGUUGUUAUAUUUGUUACGUGCAGGCUUAAUGAAGUUACCUUGUCUGUCUCCUGAGGAAUCUGUAUAAUGACCAAUUAGCAACAGUAAGAACAGACCACAGACCUCUCCACUUCCAGAGAGUUGGAUAACUCAUAGAUGUAGCACAGGAUGUACUGGUGAAGGAAAGUAUAACAAUACUAAUACUAAUGGAAAGCAGAACAUUAGAAAAACACAAUGCCAUUUGAUGUGCUUAGAAGUACAGUAGAGUCUCACUUAUCCAACAUAAACAGGCCGGCAGAACAUUGGAUAAGCAAAUAUGUUGGAUAAUAAGGAGGGAUUAAGGAAAAGCCUAUUAAACAUCAAAUUAGGUUAUGCUUUUACACAUUAACAUUAUGUUAUACUACAAAUUUGACAGAAAAAGUAGUUCAAUACACAGUAAUGCUAUGUAGAAAUUACUGUAUUUACAAACUUGGCACCAAAAAUAUCACGAUGUACUGAAAACAUUGACUACAAAAAAAAAUUGGAUAAUCCAGAAUGUUGGAUAAGCGAGUGUUGGGUAAGUGAGUCUCUACUAUACAUUCCCAAUUAAUUAUACUGAGAGUGAAAAACACCACGCCAAAGACUUCGUUUCUAUGCAUAAUUUCAUAAAACUCAACAUUUCUGCACUAUACAAACAUUAAAAGAAAGUAAUUGGAUAAAAUACAGACAUUAUUUUAAAAAUAGAUUAUAAUUCCAAGUAAUGUUGAAAUAGAUUCUUACAUAAAUUUAAUUGCUGAUUGCUUAAACAGUAGAUGAAAGGAUAAAAUGGACUUAUUGCAGAACCAGUAUUGCACCUGAAGUUCAAGUCCUUCAAAUGCAAUAUCUCAGAAACAAAUUGCUGGAUGUUAUUUUUGGCAUAAACUCCGCAUUCUUUCAUUUCAUAUUUUUGCUUUUCAUAUUACAGCUUAAUUAACAGCAGUGGCAGUAUGUUAGUGUUAAGGGACAAAUAUCCUCAUUAAAUACUUCCCGCAGAGAAAAGGAUUUCCACCGCCUCUUCUUCAAAGUAUUGUAUCAGUGUCGUCUGUUUCCCAGAAGCCUGGAGAACAUGUUUCCAGUGUGUUGUGAUUGUAGGCUGAAGAUAAGGAAACAAAGGUUCCUCUAUGGAAGAAUUACAAAAUGCUCAGGCCCUUUUGGAAUAAAUACUGUGGUAACUUCAAGUAGAAAUUAUUUUGUUACUAUUUUCCACAUAAUCUCAAUUAAUUUUUUUACUGAGAAUCUGCCAUAUUUUAGUAAAACAAUGCAGUUGGCAUGACAGGCAGUCAGAAAUGCGUUAGCACCUUUUGAUUAUUAAAGUCUUUUUGAAAGUCACAGGCCUGUAUCUUGCUUGAGCUGAUUGCUCAAGUAUUGUUUUAGGCCCCUUCCACAUUGAAUUGGAUUAUAUGGCAGUGUGGAGUCAGAUAUUCCAGUUCAAAGCAGAUAUUGUGGGUUAUCUGCCUUGCUAUUCUGGGUUAUAUGGCUGUGUGGAAGGACCCUAAGAUGGUCUAUAGAUGCAGAAAAAUCUUGUCCAUGCUUAUUCAGAAGAAGGGUUCCUAGACAGAGGUUUAUUCCACAUUAAGUGUGAAAAAGACAGCAAACAAAAGUGUGUUCUACCUGCUAGCACCUUCUCCCAUCAAAAUCAAUACUUGACUUCAGUAAGGAACUUAACUGUGGUUAGAAUGUCCCAUAACAGAAGUAGCCCUGAAGUGGGUGUAUCUAAUAGAGUUGGGUUUCGCAAGCGGAAGUCUUGGUACUUGGAAGUUUCCUCAGAUGUUUUUUUUUAUUUCCAAGGGGCUUUCCGACAUGGACGUGCAUCGGAAAUAUACUUCUGAUUUUGAACCAUUUACUUUCAUUGCUCGGAAGUAAUCUAAACUGUUGGGAAUUCUGACUCAGACAACUGUGCACUCUCAGGCAAGUCUGCUGGUUGGGAGGCAAUGGCUGGGAGGCAAAGCCUAAUGCAGGGCUUGCCUCUCAGCCAAUCAGGGCUGACAUUUGAGGGAGGGGGUGGGGUUUUUAAAGCAUUUGGUCCCCGUUACGCUUUAAAAAGGCGGUCGCAUGGCCAGAAAGUGACUGUGGUGGCUGGCUGGUGGGUGGCUCUGGCUGUGUGCUCUGGCUGGCUGGCUGGCGGGUGGUGGCUGGCUGUGUGCCCUGGCUAAUAGCAGCCUCGUUGCUGGCUCUGUAUGUGCUUGCUUGCUUUUGUUUGAAGAAGGGAGAAAUAUAAAGGGAGAGAAGGGAAAAAGGAAUAUGGGAGAGAGAUUGUAGGAGGCAGAAAGAGAAAGAACAAAGGGAGAAAUAAAGAUGGGUUGUGAGUUUUCCAUGAGUUUGUUUUUUGGGGCAGGCAGGGGAAGGGGGCUCAUUUGGUUGGGCAUUUUUUAUUUGAAUUAAGAUUUCUGUAAAUCAAUAUAUCAGCUUCUAAAAUCUGUGUUUGAGUAAAUCCAAACGUCUUUCUUUAGUUUGCUUAGUCUAUUACUAUUAUUAUUACCUAUUUUUUCAAAACAUUCAAAUCUACCACGGUCCCAAAGCAAGAACCCUAUUGCUGUUUGUAUUUCCUUCCCUUCCUUAAAGACCAUUCUUUUUUAAUAUUCCAUAAUUUUGGCUGAUAUUUUCAGUUCCUUCCUUGAGAUUAGUAUAUCACAUACGCAUGCAGUGUCUGGAGAAAUUCUAAGUUCCAACAUACACAUAGACUCUCAACUAACCUGGGGAAAACCCCUUUGGUCUCUGUUUAUUAUUGCCUUUUAAUUGUUAAUGAGCAGUCAUUUCCUUUUCCCUUCCUUCCAUAUUAAAUCUUUUAGGACAAUACUUUUUGUAAUCCAUAAUUUUGGCUAUUAUUUUCAGUUCCUUCCUUGAGAUCAGUAUAUCACAUAAGUGUGCAGCGUCUAGAUAGGACAAAUUCAUUUAUUGCCAAUUCAUCUCUUAACAAAAACACCUGGGGAGGAAGGCUUUGUCCCCAUGUUUGGGACCAGAGCCAUGUUGCAUCUAGUCUGGGCUGAGGUCCAGAUCUAGAUUAUUUCUGUGCCCCUAAUCUCAUUUGAAACACUCAUAAAUGCACAUCUUAGUAUUAUCUCUGGCUGGAGAGGAAGGCUUUGGUCCUCCGUCUGGGGUCAGGCCCAAGUUACAUCUAGUCUGGGCCGAGGUCCAGUUCUAGAUUAUUUCUGUGCCCCUAAUCCCUUUUCAAACACUCACAAGUGCACAUCUUAGUAUUAUCCCCAGAUGGAGAGGCUUUGGCCCUCAGUCUGGGGUCAGGCCCAAGUUACAUCUAAUCUGAACUAGUGGACUGAUUUGAUUGAGAUCAGUGCUGUCUUUAUGCAGCCACGCCACUGAGGACGUGAAUCUUGUUCUUGCUGAAGGCUACAGUAGUACUGCCAUGCUGGCCAUUGUUUAUAGUAAUCUUAAUACGAGAUCAGACAGUUUAAUGAUUCUAGGAUGAAUCUGUUGGUUUGGUUAAUAUGAGAGAGAGAGUCGAUUUUUAAUUUUAAAAGGUUCUGUCAAAACUUUAAAAAUUUACAGUAAAUUAGUACACAUAUGAAUAUGUCUGAAAGUUGGGGGGAAUGAUCCCCUAUUACCUUGUAUCAUUCUCUAGAAAAUUCAAAGAGGUAGCUCUUUUAUUUUUUUUAAAGGAUUUCAUUUUUUUAAAAAAAAUCCUUAAAAAUCAGUGGAUCAUCUAAACGUGAGCUAACAGUGGAAGAUGUGUUCUGCCACUGUAGCAAAUUUGAUCAGGAUAGCUCAAAAAAUGAGAGUGGAAGGAUCCCCUGAAUUUGCCCCCCUGGCAGUACUCUUUUCCCUAUUGAACAAGCGCAUCCGCCAUUAACGAAGUACUUACGAAGAUUCGGAAGUUUCAUAAAGUUUUGAACUUUUUACCUCCAAAAUUAGGAAAUGACUUUAGAAACGAAGCAGCAGCGCCCCCUACUUUUGAACACAGUUUAGAAUUUAUUUAUUUUUUUGGAUCGCACAAGCGAAACUGAAGCCAAGUCCAAAUAUGAUGCAUAUGAAGAUACCUGAACAUUCAGCAGGUUUCUUUUUCCUGUGUGACUCUUUAAUAUUUGGAACUAUAAUGGCUAAUAGCAGCCAUCCUCAGCAGCAGCCUGUGUCCACUUUCAUAUUGCUUAGUCGUCCUGUCCCCCGUAGGCUUGACAAAAAUCAUCACAAGUGAGAUGUUGUUCUAAUUUUACAAUCUUUAGUACAGUUCCUGGGAUUACUAAUUCAUGCAAUUCAGAUCAUAUUCCAAAUUGCUGGAAACCAAGUCAGUAAUGAGCUGCAAGUUGGUCUCAAGAGCAACUGAAAUUAGAAGAAAUGUAUGGGUUCCCUUUCAUAAUUUGCCAAUGGCUUCUUUGGGGAUCUUAUUUCUUGGAAGACUUCAAGCCAAAGAAUAUUAAUAAUAUGGCAAACAUGCAGGAACCACAGGAGGUACUUGAGAAAACAGCCCUGAAUACGUAUGAAAACACCAGACCCCCAGUUCUUCUGAGGACUAUUGAAAAUAAGUGAGCAAAGGUAGCUCUUAGGCACAUUUAAAUGUAAAAUGUAUUUGUUAUGCAAUGCUUUUGACACGAAAUAAAAAAUAAAGGCACAUUUAUACUCAAAAUUGAA